GAUGAACGCUGGCGGCGUGCCUAAUACAUGCAAGUCGAGCGAACAGACGAGGAGCUUGCCCCUCUGACGUUAGCGGCGGACGGGUGAGUAACACGUGGAUAACCUACCUAUAAGACUGGGAUAACUUCGGGAAACCGGAGCUAAUACCGGAUAAUAUAUUGAACUGCAUGGUUCAAUAGUGAAAGACGGUUUUGCUGUCACUUAUAGAUGGAUCCGCGCCGCAUUAGCUAGUUGGUAAGGUAACGGCUUACCAAGGCAACGAUGCGUAGCCGACCUGAGAGGGUGAUCGGCCACACUGGAACUGAGACACAGUCCAGACUCCUACGGGAGACAGCAGUAGGGAAUCUUCCGCAAUGGGCGAAAACCUGACGGAGCAACGCCGCGUGAGUGAUGAAGGUCUUCGGAUCGUAAAACUCUGUUAUUAGGGAAGAACAAAUGUGUAAGUAACUAUGCACGUCUUGACGGUACCUAAUCAGAAAGCCACGGCUAACUACGUG
rnacentral:rRNA from 1 species